GAAUUGAUCAGUUGCCUUUAAACACUAAAAGGUUUGAUUCUAUGGUCUUGAAAGAAAAAUGCUUUCCUCUAUUUGUUUAGCUGUCUUAGUUACGCUACCGAUUACACAAGGAGGUAUUUUACAAAAUGCUGUAAAUGAUAUAAGCCAAAAAACUACCGAAAAAUGCAAAAUACAUAUUGACGAUCGGCACCUCGUCCGAUGUGAUGUAGAUCCAGUUACAGAUUUUGUUCCUACAGGAGCUUUGUGUACCUACAUAAGUGACGGUGGACUACACUAUGAUGAUCCAGUAGAAACAUUUGUAUGUGAUCAGGGAUUUUUCGUCAACCUGCAUCACAGAAGUACAGGCAAGUACUAACCAUUUUCAUGCACUUUUUUAAUCAUUCUACAUAGUGCAUGAUUUAUCAUAUAGAUGGCAAAAGAUAUUAUUCAUACCUUUAAAAAUCGGGUUACUGGUUUUCUUUUGCAGAGUCUGGAAAAUAAAUGAAUGUCCUCAAUGACUGAUUUAAACACUAUUUAACAUGGGAGAAAAAGAGAAGAAUAUUAAGUUUAAUAUUGUAAAGUGUCUGUCCUUAAAUGCAUUGAUGACAAAGGCUUAAUUUUUUGUCUUGGACAAAUUAUUUUUCAUUAGUUGUUAUUGGCUUUGAACUACCUUUCAGUAACUGCGAGUACUCUCAGAUCGAGACUUUGUGUCUUUAGUAAUUUUAUUUG